rnacentral:tRNA from 1 species
GCCCCUCUGGCGGAAUUGGUAGACGCACUCGGUUUAGGUCCGAGCGCUUAACGGCUUGCAGGUUCGAGUCCUGUGGGGGGCACCA